GGCAGGUCCGCCCUCCCAGUAUCUCUCCGGGAGCUGCAAGCGUGGCUGGGGUGAGAAAGUAUUCGAGUUUUUUUAAAAUUGGGAACCUAAAACAAGAACUAUUGUAAAUUAAUGAUGGUAUAAACAAGUGCAGACAAGACUGAGAAGACCACACUGGAAAAGGAAAGCCAGGGUGGGCGUGGCCUGCACGUGACACAUCUGGCCUGUGGGCUGCCAAUUUGACAUGUUUUAGACCAUUGGUUCACAAACUCAAUAACGUUAAGGUGUGUGGAAUUCAGCUCCCAGAAUUCCCUAUCCAACAUUUUUCAAUUAGGCUGCUACAAGCUUCAAGAACUGCUUCUCUGCCCCCAAUCCUAGUUCAUCCAGAGGAGAGGUGAGGAAAAUGCUGCCACAAGCAGUGGCACCAGCGCAAAGCACCACACAAUGUUCUGUCGCGAAUGGCCACAGAACAUGGGCAAUGGCGCAAUAGGUGUUGGGGCUUGGGAGGCCUGGCUGCAGCAGUCCUAAGGCGACAAAACCUCCACAUAAUCAGCAUAGCCAUUUUCCUGUGAUGCAAGUUGUAAGAACGUAAAAGUCUUACAGAAAUCAGCAUAAUCUGGAGAUAGAAAUGAUGGGAUCUGUAGUCUAAAACAAGUAGAGAUCACAAUUUUGGAGAAAUUCUGAACUAUUGUAGCAGAGAAAAGGCAUUUAAAUUUGUUUGUUCUAUCCUUUGUGAUCUUAAUUAUUUAUCAAUUCAUUUGCUCAUUCAACUUAAAUGUUUGCCCAUCGCAAACCAGUCGCUCUGGGCAUCUAACAGUAAAAAUGUUAAAAUAUUAAACACUAGAAGACUAAAUGAUCACAGCUGUUGUGAACAAUUAUGUGUGGCUCCCAAAUAACAAAAGCCUAGUUUAUACUGUUACGGUAAUGUUAUGUAGUAUUUGCAAAGCUUGAGUGAAUGAGGCUUCUUUCACAACUCCUAGUAGAUAAUAAAUAGACAAUACAAGCUCUUCUGAAAGGGUUUUUGGUGACUCUUUCUCCACCUAUGUGGAUCAGCCACUAGAGGACACUAUGUGCUAGCUGCAUGGGCAGUAAUCAAACGUUAUAUUUUAUCCACAUACUGUAUUUUUUGAAGUUCUUUCAUAUGGCACAGCUCAGAACUGAAUCUUGACUCCAACAUCUUUUUAAGACAAAUAUGGCAGGAUCUUUUUCCAAUUUCUUUCUGGGGUUGAGUGGGAAUUGCCAUUAUAUAAAGAUUUUGACUAUCAGUUCCAGAAACGUACUAAGAAUCCUAUUUUUGUUCUGCUUUUGGUUCUCUUUUUCUGAUUUCACUUUCCUUUUAGAGUUAAGUUUAUUGAAAAGACAAUUCAGAGGAGGAAAUUAGAAAAUGUGUUAAUUCAAACUUUUUCUGCACUGGUUUAUUGCUGCUUAUUGUCUUUCGUUUUCUCCAUCUUGGUGACAGAAUUUAGAAAUCAAUUAAGUGUGUGAGAAUGCUUUAUACAUUGAAGCUAUAAAAAUACAUUUUUUUUGCGAUUUGAACCACAAAAACAAAAACAAAACCCAAGCAGAGCAAAACUUAAGGAAGGUUGAUUGCAAGAUUUUCUCAUGACUAGCUUCAUCAUAGUUAAGUUGCCCAAUUAGCUCAGUAUUUUUAUAGGUUCAUGUGAUAUUAUGAAUCAUCAGCAUACAGUAUAGGCUACUUUGACUCAGCCUAUACCAAAUUCUAGAGCCAUAGCAGGGAAGGAUAGAAGGGAUGGUACAGGUCAUCUGAUCAAACUUCCUGCCUAGUGAAAGAAUCCAGUACAGUUAUUCAGUACUUAACAACACAGUUGAGACCGGAAAUUCUAUUGCUCUAUUUCACCUUCUGAGUUUGUUUGUUAGCCACUUUAGUCCUUGUAGAUUGGGUCUGUACAAAAUAUUUGGUCUGUA